GUAGGUGGCAAGCGUUGUCCGGAAUUAUUGGGCGUAAAGCGCGCGCAGGCGGUUUUUUUAAGUCUGAUGUGAAAGCCCACGGCUCAACCGUGGAGGGUCAUUGGAAACUGGAGAACUUGAGUACAGAAGAGGAAAGCGGAAUUCCACGUGUAGCGGUGAAAUGCGUAGAGAUGUGGAGGAACACCAGUGGCGAAGGCGGCUUUCUGGUCUGUAACUGACGCUGAGGCGCGGAAGCGUGGGGAGCAAACAGGGAUUAGAUACCCUGGUAGUCCACGCCGUAAACGAUGAGUGCUAAGUGUUAGGGGUUUCCCGCCCCUUAGUGCUGCAGCUAACGCAUUAAGCACUCCGCCUGGGGAGUACGGCCGCAAGGCUG
rnacentral:rRNA from 1 species